rnacentral:rRNA from 1 species
AGCUCCAAUAGCGUAUAUUAAAGUUGUUGCAGUUAAAAAGCUCGUAGUUGGAUUUCUGGACGGGGGGCUCUACUCGCAUCGUGCGAGGCCAGAGUCGCUCGGCCAUCCUUCUGUUAACCCGUCUCGGUAUUCACUUAUCGGGCGGGGGCUCAGAUAGAUUACCUUGAGAAAAUUAGAGUGUUUCAGGCAGGCUUGCGCCCGAAUACAUUAGCAUGGAAUAAUAGAAUAGGACUUUGGCCUCUUCUGUUGGUCUGAGGGGUUAAAGUAAUGAUUAAUAGGGAUAGUUGGGGGCAUUAGUACUUAACUGUCAGAGGUGAAAUUCUCGGAUUUGUUAAAGACUGACUUAUGCGAAAGCAUUUGCCAAGGAUGUUUUCA